AUGCCCAUUUCAACUUUUACAAUUUUGUCACUUAGUCCUUUUUCUUGCGCACAAAUGCAUCAUCUUUUUGGUUGAAGAAAUAUCCACAAAGUCAUACUUAGGACUAGCUGUUUGAACCAAAUACCACAUAAAUAAACAUUGGUUUGUUCUCAUGAUAUUUUUGAAAAUUUCCUUUUGUCUGAUUUACUUUUUGAUUAAUUUUGAUUAUAUAUGUUAUAUUUCUUAACACAAAAGUUCUAAUCUAGUUAAAAAAAAUCAUCUGUGCAUUUGAUUUUAAAGAAAUUCAUUCUAUAAUAAGAGAAAUUCUUAAUUUGGCUUCUUUUUUUCAGGUAAGGGGAUUCAAGGCCAAAGUCGAUUCUUGACCCUUCUCCUCGGUAGACAGCGUAAAAGACCGUCUGUCCCCAAAUCCACUCAAGCUGUUCCCUAAAUAAAGGGGGAACCUGUACUGUACUAGUCAUUUGGUGAUGACGUCACUAGUCAUGUGACAACAAUACGGAGAUACCUCAUGUUCAUUGCCAAAGCCGUGCAUCGAGAAAAGCGGUUCUGGUAUGACAUCAUCGCAUAAAACUUGCCAUUCAUUGGAUAAGAAUGGGAGAGGAACGCCUUGUGUUGAUUUCAGCAAAUAUUUUUUAUUUUUGAAAUUCUUCAAAGCAAAUAACACUAAUAGUAUGAAAGUGCUAUAAAAGUUUGAUUCAACAGAGCAGGCUUUAGCCAGUGGUCUUUCAGAGUUUGUUUAGAAAACUUUGAUGGACACAUGUCAGUGAUGAAUGAUUUUACGUGAAUGCAGUAUAUAAUUAGGUCACUACAGCAAUAUCAUAACACCUAAGUGUAAUACAUGUAGUUGUGUGACAAACACAAAAUAAAGAACUUGUUGAUCAGUCCAAGCCACAACAACCCAUUCUAUUCAACCGUGUUGACUUGUUUAAAGAAAAAUACACUGUUUGAUUGUAUAUUCAUCCUCAAAAGUUUAAAAAAUGAACAGUACAGAGGUUUAUAGAUAACUGAUGAAUAAAUGUACAAAAAAGUUUCUGUUUAUAAAACGGAAUAUUGUGUAUGUUAAAUGAAUGAAAUAUUAUGUGAUAUAUUUAUUAUGAUAUGAAUUAUUUGUAUUUGAUAAUUUUAUCUAGUUUAUUGAAUAUUAAUAAAAAUGCAGAAAUAUUUU
rnacentral:misc_RNA from 1 species